rnacentral:rRNA from 1 species
UGGGGGAUAUUGCACAAUGGGCGAAAGCCUGAUGCAGCGACGCCGCGUGGGGGAUGAAGGCCUUCGGGUUGUAAACUUCUUUUGCUCUGAACAAGGCAUGCCUUUGGGGUGUGUUGAGUGUAGGGGUUGAUUAGCGCCGGCUAACUACGUGCCAGCAGCCGCGGUAAUACGUAGGGCGCGAGCGUUGUCCGGAAUUAUUGGGCGUAAAGGGCUUGUAGGUGGCUGGUUGCGUCUGUCGUGAAAGCUCAUGGCUUAACUGUGGGUUUGCGGUGGGUACGGGCUGGCUUGAGUGCAGUAGGGGAGGCUGGAAUUCCUGGUGUAGCGGUGGAAUGCGCAGAUAUCAGGAGGAAUACCGGUGGCGAAGGCGGGUCUCUGGGCUGUUACUGAUGCUGAGGAGCGAAAGCGUGGGGAGCGAACAGG